UACGUAGGGGGCGAGCGUUGUCCGAAUUCACUGGGCGUAAAGCGCGCGUAGGCGGACCUUUAAGUUGGGGGUGAAAUGCCGAGGCUCAACCUCGGAACUGCCUUCAAAACUGGGGGUCUUGAGGUAUGGAGAGGGAAGUGGAAUUCCAGGUGUAGCGGUGAAAUGCGUAGAUAUCUGGAGGAACACCCGUGGCGAAGGCGGCUUCCUGGCCAUAUCCUGACGCUGAGGUGCGAAAGCCAGGGGAG
rnacentral:rRNA from 1 species